rnacentral:snRNA from 1 species
GCACUCGCUUCGGCAGCACAUGCACUAAAACUGGAACGAUACAGAGAUUGGCAUGGCCCUGUGCAAGGAUGACAGGCAAAUUCAUGAAGUGUUUCAUAUUUAA